UACGUAGGGGGCAAGCGUUGUCCGGAAUCAUUGGGCGUAAAGCGCGUGUAGGCGGCUUGGUAAGUCCGCUCUGAAAGCCCGGGGCUCAACCCCGGGAGGCGGGUGGAUACUGUCAAGCUCGAGUCCGGAAGAGGCGAGUGGAAUUCCUGGUGUAGCGGUGAAAUGCGCAGAUAUCAGGAGGAACACCAAUGGCGAAGGCGGCUUCCUGGACCGACACUGACGCUGAGGCGCGAAAGCGUGGGGGAGCAAACAGG
rnacentral:rRNA from 1 species